GCGGGUAUGGUGUAGUGGUAGCACAAGACCCUUCCAAGGUCUUGGCACGGGUUCGAGUCCCGUUACCCGCU
rnacentral:tRNA from 1 species